rnacentral:rRNA from 1 species
CGGCUGAACCAGCAACUUGGAGGAAUGUAUAGCAAUUGCUAUUUGCGCUAAUGUUUUAGUGUAAAAUCGACUAUGUCGCAUAAAAUUCUGGAUAGAAUUAUGAUAAUGACAUUAUCUAUUUAUAAGUCUUGACCAAAUUACGUGCCAGCAGUCGCGGUAAUACGUAGAAGACAAGUGUUAUUCAUCUUUAAUAGGUUUAAAGGGUACUUAGACGGUAAAUAAAGCCUCAAAAAGGGACUAGUUUGCUAGAGUUUUAUAUGAAGGGGUUUUAAAGUACUACUGGUGUAGAGAUGAAAUUCAGUUAUACCUUACAUGGCACAGGUUAAGGCGAAAGCAUCUUCUUAUGUAAAAACUGACGUUGAAGGACGAAGGCUUUGUGUCUCGAACAGGAUUAGAUACCCUAGUAGUCUAAGCAGAAAAUCAUGAAUGUCAUAGAUUAGAUAUAAUUUGAUCUAUAAAUGAUAGUGUAAGCAUUCCACCUCAAGAGUAAUUUGGCAACAUUGGAACUGAAAUCAUUAGACCGUUUCUGAAACCAGUAGUGAAGUAUGUUGUUUAAUUUGAUAAUCCGCAAAAAACCUUACCACAAUAUGAAUAGAUAUAUUUUAUCAUACAAGCGUUGCACGGCUGUUUUUAGUUAAUGUCGUGAGACUUUGGUUAGUUCCAUUAAAUUAACGUAAACCCUUACUUUAUUUUUAUAUAAAGUAGUUCACCGCUAUAUUGGAUGUGAUAAUAGGGAUCAAGACAAGUCAUCAUGACCUAGAUAUUGU